rnacentral:misc_RNA from 1 species
CACCUAUCUUUCACUAGUGCAACUUAGCUAAAGUCUAAAGAGAAAUACAAGAAGAGAAGAAACAAAAGAAAAUGGAGGCUAAUUCUUGCUUUUUCUUUGGCCUUUUGCUUCUCUUAGCUUCAACAAUGUCACUAGCUAAUGCAAAAGUUCAGCACCAUGAGUUUCUAGUUCAAGCAACAAAAGUGAAGAGGCUUUGCAAAACUCAUAAUACCAUCACAGUAAACGGGAUGUUCCCUGGACCAACCUUGGAAGUGAACAAUGGGGACACUUUAGUUGUCAAAGUUACCAACAAAGCAAGAUACAAUCUUACCAUUCACUGGCAUGGAAUAAGGCAGAUGAGGACAGGAUGGGCAGAUGGGCCAGAAUUUGUGACACAGUGCCCAAUUAGACCAGGAGGAACUUACACUUACAGGUUUACAAUUGAUGGACAAGAAGGAACAUUGUGGUGGCAUGCUCAUAGCUCAUGGCUUAGAGCCACUGUUUAUGGUGCUCUAAUUAUAUAUCCAAGAGAAGGAACCUCAUACCCUUUCCCUAAGCCCAAAAGAGAGACGCCCAUUCUACUUGGGGAAUGGUGGGAUGGCAACCCCAUUGAUGUGGUGAGGGAGUCAACUAGAACAGGAGCAGCUCCAAACAUUUCUGAUGCUUAUACCAUUAAUGGUCAACCUGGAGAUCUUUACAACUGCUCCAGCGAAGACACUGUCAUUGUUCCAAUUGGCUCCGGCGAAACAAACCUCCUCCGGGUCAUCAACGCUGCGCUCAAUCAACCACUAUUCUUCACCAUUGCCAACCAUAAUUUCACAGUUGUUGGUGCUGAUGCCUCCUAUCUCAAACCCUUCACCACUUCGGUCAUCAUGCUAGGACCUGGCCAAACCACCGAUGUUUUGAUCUCCGGUGACCAACUACCAGCUCGAUACUACAUCGCAGCACGUGCCUAUCAAAGUGCCCAAAAUGCUCCAUUUGAUAAUACUACCACCACUGCCAUUCUUGAAUACAACUCUGCUCCUUGCCCUGCUAAGUGCCUUACAAGCAAACCAAUUAUGCCCCCGUUACCAGCCUUCAACGACACAAAUACAGUCACUACCUUCAGCAACAGCCUUAAAAGUCCUCGGAAAGUUGAGGUCCCAACUGAUAUUGAUGAAGACCUCUUCUUCACAGUUGGCCUAGGACUCAACAGAUGCCCCAGGAAUUUUCGUCGUAGGCGGUGCCAAGGACCCAAUGGCACUCGCUUCACAGCCAGCAUGAACAAUGUCUCUUUCGUGUUUCCUUCAAACUUCUCCUUACUACAAGCUUAUCAGCAAAACAUACCAGGAGUUUUCACCACUGACUUUCCAGCACAACCUCCGGUGAAAUUUGAUUACACUGGAAAUGUGAGCCGGUCACUUUGGCAACCUGUUCCAGGCACUAAACUCUACAAAUUGAAGUAUGGAUCAAAGGUCCAGAUUGUGUUGCAGGAUACAAGUAUUGUAACACCUGAGAACCACCCAAUUCACCUCCAUGGAUAUGAUUUCUAUAUCAUUGCAGAAGGCUUCGGAAAUUUCAAUCCCAAAACUGAUAAAGCUAAAUUCAACCUUGUGGAUCCACCAAUGAGGAACACAGUUGCAGUACCUUCAAAUGGAUGGGCAGUCAUUAGAUUCGUGGCAGACAAUCCAGGUGUGUGGAUUCUGCAUUGUCACUUGGAUGUUCAUAUUGCAUGGGGUUUGGCUAUGGCUUUCUUGGUAGAAAAUGGAGUUGGGAAGCUACAGUCUCUAGAGCCUCCUCCAGCUGAUCUCCCUCUAUGUUAAGAUUGAUAAAAGAAACGCAACCCAUCAAUAGGGGUUGCUAUUUUUUUUUUUUAAUUCUUUUCCUUAUUCAUAAUUUUCUAGGUGGUUCCCUGCAUUAGGGAUAUAG